AAUUUUAAUUUUAUUUUGGGGUAAAAUCUUAUUUGAGAGAACCCCAAUCUCGUGAACAUCUUCAUCUUCUUCGUGUCGUUGCCGCCGCCUUCUUCAUCUUCUCAGCCGGGUUCUUCAUUUGCUUCUUGUUGUCGCUGCCGUGGUCGUAAUCUGGUGAGGCGUGCUCUUCAUCUUCUUCGUGUCGUCGCUGCCUCAUGUUUCAUCUUCUCAGUUGGGUUCUACAUCUUCUUCUUGUGUCGCUGUCGUGGUCUGUUCAUCUGUACCCUAUUGCUAAUCUACCCCUCGGCUACAUGUCUGAGCGAGGCGGCAUUCAACCCUGAAGCAAGGCACGCGUUCAAACCUCUGUUCUGUGCUCAAGUUCUCCUCCGUGGUUCAACCCUGAAGCGAGACCUCCACCAUCCUCUCUUGUGUGUUUGAGUUCUCCUCCGUUGUUCAACGCUGAAGCGAGACCUCCACCACUGGUUCGUAUGUUCAUCUACCGCAAAGAGGGUGUUAAUUUAAUCUGUUCUGAAACCACCAUGUUCAUCCGUUCACCUCAACCACCGCACUCAUCAACCUCAACCACCGUCGCAAGCCCUAACAUAGCUCUACCACUGCGAAGAAUCAGCUUUGUUGUAAUCAACUGACUGGAAGCAUACCUACACAGCUUGCUGCUUUGAAUUAAAAUGUAUUGAGAUAUGAAUGCAUACGUUCCAGGGCAUAAAAGUGGGUGGAUGCUCACUGUGAGAAGGAAAUAUGACACAAGGAUCAAAUAUAAGUGAAUGAGGUGAUUGGAACGAAAUGGAACCUUCUUUGGUUGGGUGCUGAACCGGCGGGGAGGAGGGUGGUAGGGGAGAGGGAGCAAGAAGAUAAAAAUUCGGUGAAGAAGCUUAGUAAUUUAAGAUCCAAAAUGGUGGAACAAGACUUGGGCGGGAUCUUUUCCCUCACUUUCUAAAUACGAAAAGUGUGUUUAGCGCCAAUAAGGAGAGCAUAAAAGUAUUAAAUUUUUUAAUGAUAUUUUGUAUAGUUUAAAGUUUUUUUUUGUAAUUAAAAUUAAAUAACAUAAUAUUUAAUGAAAA